UACAGACGGGGCAAGCGUUAUUCGGAAUCACUGGGCGUAAAGCGCACGUAGGCGGCUUUCUAAGUCAGGGGUGAAAUCCUGGAGCUCAACUCCAGAACUGCCUUUGAUACUGGAGAGCUUGAGUCCGGAAGAGGUGAGUGGAACUCCGAGUGUAGAGGUGAAAUUCGUAGAUAUUCGGAAGAACACCAGUGGCGAAGGCGGCUCACUGGUCCGGUACUGACGCUGAGGUGCGAAAGCGUGGGGAGCAAACAGG
rnacentral:rRNA from 1 species